rnacentral:rRNA from 1 species
UACAGAGGUCUCGAGCGUUAGGCGGAAUCACUGGGCUUAAAGCGUGUGUAGGUGGAUGCCUAAGUACCUUGUGAAAUCCCACGGCUUAACCGUGGAACUGCUUGGUAUACUGGGUGUCUUGAGUCACUCAGGGGCGAGCGGAACAAAUGGUGGAGCGGUGAAAUGCGUAGAUAUCAUUUGGAACGCCAAUGGUGAGAACAGCUCGCUGGGGGUGCACUGACACUGAGACACGAAAGCCAGGGGAGCGAACGGG